rnacentral:sRNA from 1 species
UAGUAUAAAAGUUGCCCUUACAAGUCUA